rnacentral:lncRNA from 1 species
UCUAUAUAAGCCACCCUCCCCCGCUGGUGCAGGGGUUAGCAAAUCAUUGUAUUCCAUAUUCCACUCGACAACAAGCUCCUAGAGCACUGAGACGUAGGGCUAUUACCUCCACCGUAGAGGGGCCUGAACUCAUACAACCUCGCCGUAGCUGGGACUCUGCCCAUCCUUUUCGUACCCUACACAUCUACUGUCAGGCUUAUAC